UUAGGCAAAUUUAUCUUAUUUUGAACGACUUCCUCCUGCGUUUCCCUCGCUCUUCAAAAACCUUAAAAACCAAAAGUAUCAUCAGGUAUAACAAACCCAAAACCAUUGUAUAUAACCAACACAAACCACUGACUUUUCUCUUCUCCCAUCUUCAUCUCUCUAAAAAAAAGAAAAAAUCACAACACCACCAUCACUAUCUUACCUCUAUUGCAUCUACCAAUGACUUCGUCGCGGUCGAUAGAGUUCAUGACUCCUUUAGAGGAAGAACACCUAAUAUUUUCUACCAUUUAUGGAAAUUUUCUACUAAAUUGAUUUUCCGUAAUGCAUUUCCCAAUCUAAGUGCUCUUCCCUUACCACCGACUUCCCUCCCUCUUUGAUAAUCUCUAAGAAAUACUUUAAUUGUGUAUAUGUGUGUUUACAUGUAUUAGAGCGAGAAACUAUUGAAAUAGUGGAGUACCCUCAAGAUAAAGUCGGAUGAAAAUCCACAGCUAAAGUUCUAUUUUUCUAUGAUCUUUUAUUUUCGUCAAUUUUCUUUACAUUUUACAUUUUGUUUUUGUAUCUAUAAGGUAGAUCAUAGUAUCAGAGCAAUAAGAUGUGUCAUACCAAGAACAUUGAUGCUGGAUAGCUAUGUUGGUAUUCUUUGAUCUUGAUCCAGCAAAUGAUGGUUGGAAGAACAAACACCUAACAAGAAGGGUUUGUUGAAGAAAGGAAGAUGAAGAAAUGAAUAAGAUAGGGGAAAAAGGUCAUGUACGGUGGUUUAAUAAACAUACUAUAUGACUAUGGAUUGAUAAACACGGGUUUAUAUUUUCUUUUCCAUUAAUUACAAUCAAUUAAAGUUUACCCAUCAUCACACAUUUUGACCAUACCGUGUCUCUCACUUAUAUCCUCAUUGCUUUUUUUUAUUUGAUCAUAUUUAAUUUGUGCAUAUUGUGUUUUUUAAGAUUUAUUUGGCUCUUAGUUAUUUUUACAGAUGUAUGAAAUAACAGAGGCAAAUGAAAUACAUUUACAAACCUUGAUUUACAAUGUAAAUUGAUCUUUUUCUCUUUACCAUUUAAGUGUUUGGUUUUUAUUUCAUUCCAGAUUCAAGAUCACCUCUCCUGAGUCCUUGGGAGCAUCAACUGUUCGUGUCAAGUUUGUGGCAUGAAGAGAAUCUAUGUGAAGGUGGUGAGGUUUGAUUGCAUUAACAAUCGUGCUAGGAAACAAGAGAACUUCAGUUGGAUCUUCAUCAUGUUGUCGGUGGAUUCAUUGACUGAUUUCUACAGUUAUCUAUUCAAUACCAACUAUUCAAUACGACAAUUCCAAGGAGUCGAGGAGUUAGACUGUUAGACGUUCUACUUCAACUUCCCAAUUCAAUUCCUAAUCCAAAUGGCUGAUUGCAGUCGACUCCUAAUAUAAUCGACUUUAUAAUCUUUUGAAAUCGACUAUGAAAUUGAUAUUCAACAAUCAAGACUCAAGAACAAGAAGAAAUGGGUUUAAGUCAAGAUUCAAGAAGAAGAAGAAGAAAAGGCUGCAAUCGAAUGAUCAACAUUCCACAAUCAUAAUACAUUGUUAUUUGGGUAAAUGACACAAAAAACACUCUUUUUAUACAGAAAUUCGAUUUUGAUACUGUGUUUUUUUUUGUGUCAAUUUUGACACUGUGUUUUCCAAUUUGUUACAAUUCUGACCACUUGACCGGUUAACCAGGUUGCAUGCUGACGUGGCAUGAUGACGUGUCAGUUUUGAUGACGUAGCAUGCUGACAUGAUAUGCUGACGUGUCAAAAUUGAAUUUUUUUCUCACAAAAAACACUAAGUUUUCAUUUUUUUUUUCGAUUUUGACACUACGUUUAAUUUUUUCUUUCAACUUUGACACUAUGUUUUUUUUGUUCCAAAUCGAAUAUCAUUUUUUCCAAUUUUGUUCAAUGUUGACAAUUUUCUAUUUGAAACCGUAUAAAUAUUUUUUUAAUACAUUUAAACCGUAUAAAUAUGUUUUUUUUUUCAUUUAAAAACCAUAGUUUUGUAUAAAUACAUUUUUUUUUACACUCAAACCAUAUUUUUAUGUAUAAAUAUGUAUUAGCUAUAUAAAAAUUAUAUUUUAUAUUAAUAUGCAACUUUAAAAUAUGUUUGAAGGUUUAUAGGCGUGUAGUUAUCAAAAUUUGGAUAUCAAGUUUGCAACCCAUCAAAUUUUUAUAUCUUAUUAGAAGCUUAUGGUUAGUUUGAUUCUCAUGAUAUAACUAAUGCUUUAAAUGUAAGAAAAAAACACCUUGUAUUUAAAUAAAAAUGUGGUUUUUAAACGAAAAAAAUAUGUUUAUACGGUUUAAAAUGUAAUAAAAAAAAUAUAUUUAUACGGUUUCAAAUGGAAAAUAGACAAAAUUGAACAAAAAUUGAUAAAUGAUGUUCGAUUGGAACAAAAAAAACAUAGUGUCAAAAUUGAAAUAAAAAAUUAAACUUAGUGUCAAAAUCGAAAAAAAGUGAAAACUUAGUGUUUUUUGUGGAAAAAAAAAUCAAUUUUGACACGUCAGCAUAUCAUGUCAGUAUGCCACGUCAUCAAAACUGACACGUCAUCAUGCCACGUCAGCAUGUAACCUGGUUAACCGGUCAAGUGGUCAGAAUUGUAACGAAUUGGAAAACACGGUGUCAACAUUGACACAAAAAAUAACACAGUGUCAAAAUCGAAUUUCUGUGUAAAAAUAGUGUUUUUUAUGUCAUUUACCCUUGUUAUUUAUACAACUAGAAUUGAUGUUUGUUUUGGAGUGAAUGUUGUUUGGUUUUAGUGAUCAUGUUCUAUGUGCUUAAUGAAAAAAUAUAGCCUAAACU